GAUGAACGCUGGCGGCGUGCCUAAUACAUGCAAGUCGAGCGAAUGGAUUAAGAGCUUGCUCUUAUGAAGUUAGCGGCGGACGGGUGAGUAACACGUGGGUAACCUGCCCAUAAGACUGGGAUAACUCCGGGAAACCGGGGCUAAUACCGGAUAACAUUUUGAACCGCAUGGUUCGAAAUUGAAAGGCGGCUUCGGCUGUCACUUAUGGAUGGACCCGCGUCGCAUUAGCUAGUUGGUGAGGUAACGGCUCACCAAGGCAACGAUGCGUAGCCGACCUGGGAGGGUGAUCGGCCACACUGGGACUGAGACACGGCCCAGACUCCUACGGGAGGUAGCAGUAGGGAAUCUUCCGCAAUGGACGAAAGUCUGACGGAGCAACGCCGCGUGAGUGAUGAAGGCUUUCGGGUCGUAAAACUCUGUUGUUAGGGAAGAACAAGUGCUAGUUGAAUAAGCUGGCACCUUGACGGUACCUAACCAGAAAGCCACGGCUAACUACGUGCCAGCCGCCGCCGUAA
rnacentral:rRNA from 1 species